AAGCAGCAGAGCUGGGAACAGCACACAGAUGUCCUGAGUCAACCCAAGGAACUCCAGACAAACACAGCAAGACAACCACCAGCACAGUGACACAGUCCAGUCUGUGAGAGGUCCUGCAGAUGCCUCUGACAUUCCUGCUGGCCGAGAUGGGCAGCUCUGCUGGGAGACCCCUCCCUCCUAUUGCUGGUCAGGACAGGGACAUAAUUGAAGGCCCUAGAAGACUGACUGAGUGGAGAGCAAAGGCAGGACUGACUGACAGGACUUCUCCUGGUGAUGCAAUUGAGGGUGAAUGUGGAUGAACAUGACAUACCCCUUGCAGAUGGAGUGAAUGUGUUCUCCUUGCUUCUCUGCCUGCCCUUCAAUACCAAAUGGGCAUAUGUGAAGUUGAAAUUCACGCUGCAGCAUCCAGACGGUGCCUCAAGCUGGCUGCACAUUCCCAGAAAGGAAGAAACCACCACCCCCACCCCCCCCAGCCUACCUGCAGAAUGACCUUUCUGCUGAUGCUGACUUGCAGCUCAGGAGCUUUUGUGCUGUGAGAGGCAGGGAGAUGAAAUGUUUUCCUGUUCAGUGUAUACAGAAGAGUUUGGAGUUGAGCUGUUCUCUCCCCAACUGUAAAACUACAGUGAAAUCCAGAGUCUUUCUUUGUGUUCCAUUGCCUGCUUUGAGGAAAACAGUGGUCAUGAGAUCAGCCUCAGGGAACAGGGAGUUCAACUGUGCAACACAUGAGGCCAGGAGUGAAAGAGGGAGCAUGGAAAGUCAAAUGGAGCAUUGGCCUGCUGCCCCUCAGGUAACCUCGCAAGCCUGAAACAAGACAGCAAAUCUUGGAGUGCAAGGCAUGAAGACAGGAUUGCAGCCUUCUUCAUGGCACAUGAGCAGCCACCUACCAUGUCUGUAGUCAGUUGGUUCCUUGUGCCACGUAGUCCAGGAUCUGAGAGCACAAGGACAGAAGAUCAAAAGAGCCUCUUGCUUGCAUUUCACGUGUCCUGUCACUGAGAAUAUUGAUUACUAAUUACUGAACUAACCUGAAUAAGCACUCAAAGUCUGGCUGUUAACACUUAUUACUGAUAAACAGCUUGAGCUCUAUUGGUUCUGCGUAUGUGCUCACACCCAUGCAUAUCUCCUAAGUUGCGUGGCAGGCAAGAUAGUUCAGAUACUAUAACCACAGGAGGUUCCAGGUCCUGGCCCUGUCUUGCAUCUGGACCACAUGUGCCAACAGCCAAGAUCAAAACAGCAAUAAUCUGGCAUCCACAUCCAGGAUGAGCAGAGGAGAUGCCUGCACCCAUCCUUUCCUUCCAUGCAAAGGCUGGAGUACUUCCUGAGCUUGGGACCAAAUCACCCCCUUUCUGGACACUGUGGUCGGUGUCAGCUUCUCUUUGGACCUGUUCUUGCUCACACACUGCACAAAGGGCUUUAAAUGGGAUCAGAGGGAGAUACUUCUCUUCCCACUCUAUAUUCACAUGGCAAGAUGCUCUCUGUCACCCCUGACCUCUCCCUCACUGGCUGUGUGGAUCUAAGAGCUACAGCAUUCAAUCACCUUCUGGACAAUUGAACAGGAGCUAUUCCAACAACGUCGCUUCCCCUCUCCCCUGCCUGGGAGCAGGAAUUAUCUCAAGUAGGUUGUAGUGGUGUGUGUAAUGAUGACUGUGUCAGUGAACAUAGUUCCUGUUGCCUGGAUGCAGGUGACAAAAAGGAUGGCUAUAGGAAGAGGAUAUUUUACAGCUGCAGAUGUGACAGAUGAGUGUCCCAGCUUUCAAACCUUUCUUUUUAGAGUUCUGUGUUUCAGCUAAAGGUGACUGCCUUUCUGCUGACAGAUCUCUUCCUGCAGCUCGAGUGAGUGUUCAUGCUUCUGUUCUGUGCAGCAUAAAGACAGACAGGUUUGUGUGAAAGACCUGCUGACACACUCUUGUUCUGAAUGUGAUGUAGGGAAUCUGACCGGCCGCAGGAGUUGGCUUCACAGUAUGAGCCCUGCAGUCACAACAGCUGCCUCAUGACACUCCCAGCCUCAGUGGGCACUUCUGUCCCUCCAGUCAGCUGUAGCUGGCAUGAAGGGAUGGAACUGGUGAGGUUUUGGGGAUGAAGCCUUGCUUCAUGUGUAAACCUCAGGACUGUGUUGAUUUUCAGGUCAGAGAUCACAACUGGUUGUGCACUGGACAGAAGAGGCUUCUGGACCUCAUAGCAGCUGGUUGAGGAGGCUCUCUUCUCAGGCAAGUGCUGUAACAAACAGCUGGUGUCUGAGCUGUGGGCUGGUUUGUGUCCUCCUAGGACAGGAAGCAGGCUGCAGCCACCAUUUUAGUGGCUAUCGGACACCAAAGACCUGGGCCAAAUGCUCUUCCCCACUUCUGAGUCUCAUCGGAGAAUGACUUCAGCCUUGAGGGCUCCUGGGCAAGGGAAUAAGGGUUGUCAGAGCCUUCCUCAUCAAGCUGCAGCCUUCGAUGACUUGAUGUGUGCAGGAUGCCUUUGCCUUGGGUCUCUGUUGUGCCAUCUGGCAGCACAAGACUGCCCUAAAGAACGCAGAGGGAAUCCCUCUCAAAGUGGCCUUG